ensembl:lncRNA
AAUCUUUCCCAGCUCUUCUGCACUGUACUGAGGAACUGGCAGGACUGCAAGGAGGAAAAGGACAAACAGGCUGUCCUCGGGGCUGUGGCUGCCAUGAUGGCUGUCCUCCUUCAAGAAGAGCUGUGCCGAGAGCACGUUUGGGAGCAGCUUCUCUGGCUCGUGCACCCGUAUCAGGAGGUCCAAGACACCUGCAGGGUGACCAAGAGCCUCAGUAUCUUCCUGGAGGCCUUAGAGGGAGUUCAAUCUGUCAUCCCCAAGGACAAGUUUCUGGCCAUCACCAGUGCCGUGUUCUACCAGCUCUCUGAUGACACCAAGGAGCACAGCGAGGCAGACAGAGCAGAGCUGGCCCACUGCAUCCUGCUGCAGGCCCGGAUCUGCCCAGAGGAAACGGUCCAGUUUCUGCAGUCACAGCUGGGCGCUGACAGGGAGGCUGGAUGCGUGGC